UACGUAGGGUGCGAGCGUUAAUCGGAAUUACUGGGCGUAAAGCGUGCGCAGGCGGUUCUCCAAGUCCGUUGUGAAAGCCCCGGGCUCAACCUGGGAAUGGCAGUGGAAACUAGGGGACUUGAAUCUGGCAGAGGGGGUGGAAUUCCACGGUGUAGCAGUGAAAUGGCGUAGAGAUGUGGAGGAACACCGGAUGGCGAAGGCAGCCCCCUGGGCUGAGAUUGACGGCUCAGGC
rnacentral:rRNA from 1 species